rnacentral:rRNA from 1 species
AGUGGCGCACGGGUGCGUAACGCGUAUACAUCUGCCUUUAAGCGGGGAAUAGCCCAUGGAAACGUGGAUUAAUACCCCAUAGUUUCACCUGGAUAAACAUUUAUGGCUUAAAGAUGAGUAUGCGUCCUAUUAGUUAGUUGGUAAGGUAACGGCUUACCAAGACCGCGAUAGGUAGGGGUCCUGAGAGGGAGAUCCCCCACACUGGUACUGAGACACGGACCAGACUCCUACGGGAGGCAGCAGUGAGGAAUAUUGGACAAUGGAGGCAACUCUGAUCCAGCCAUGCCGCGUGCAGGAAGACGGCCUAUGGGUUGUAAACUGCUUUUAUACGGGAAGAACCACAUCUACGUGUAGAUGCUUGACGGUACCGUAUGAAUAAGGACCGGCUAACUCCGUGCCAGCAGCCGCGGUAAUACGGAGGGUCCAAGCGUUAUCCGGAAUCAUUGGGUUUAAAGGGUCCGUAGGCGGGAUAAUAAGUCAGUGGUGAAAGUCUGCAGCUCAACUGUAGAAUUGCCAUUGAUACUGUUGUUCUUGAAUUAUUAUGAAGUGGUUGGAAUGAGUAGUGUAGCGGUGAAAUGCAUAGAUAUUACUCAGAACACCCUUUGCGAAGGCGAAUCACUAUAUAUAUUGACGCUGAGGAACGGAAGCGUAGUAGCGACAGAUUAGAUACCCUGGUAG